AUAGGAAAGGCUUUAGACACCAUACUGAGCUUUGGUCGUUCUUUUUUCCAAGGAUUUUGCCCACCUGGCCUUUUUCUUACAUAGCUCAGCCUAAGAUACACAGUGCAUGCCAUUUGAUUUUAAUUCUCAUUUUAUCAGUAUGUCGCAGAAAACACAAGACGCAAGUCCUGUGCAAUACAUGGAGGGACAUUCAUAUAGCACUUGUCAGCAUCUCAUUAAAGCAGCUGUCUCUUUCCUAGAAUUGCAAGCCAGCAAUGCAGGAAAAGACACAACUUUUUAAAAGGGUUAUUGAAAGUGCUAUGUGAAUGUAUGCACCAAAACCUCUCCCCCCUUUAAAUCCAAAGGACUGAACAGCCCAAGCAGGUACUGACAAAAGUCUUUGCCCUCUUUCAAAUUUUCUGAAUAGUUGCUUCUCUUUGUUAUUGAAUGUGAGAGCUUCACGUUAGUACUAUUGACAUAUAGGGGGACUCUGAACAAGUAACACUAAUUUAAUGUUUUAUUUCUCCAUAAACAAAAUCAUCCAACAUGCAAUAUGCUACUGAAAAACUGACGUAUGCAGUAACUAGCACCACUUUUAGCUACAGUGACCACAGCAAAAUGCUUCCUUUAACUGGUUAACUGUUCUCUGGUAUCACUGUACUGGAAUUUGGGGGCAUUCUACGGUGAACUAUUUCAAUAACGGGUUAUUAGUAUAAACUACUUGAUUUAGGUCAUGCCACAUUUCCAAGGGGAUUAAGUUCUGUAGAAUUCUUUGAAUCAGUGUAGAAGGGAUGGAAGUAUUAAGGUCCUGAGAAAACAAAGUAUUCCCAAACUAUGAUACUACCAGCUCUCCGCUGGACAAUUGGUAUGAUAUUUUUAUUGUGCAUUGUGAUGUUCUGUUUCUGUCAGAUGUAAUGAGGACCAUGCAGCCUGAAAAGUUGUGCUGUUGACACAUCUUGCCUAGAAUAUUCCUUCAGAAAUCUGAAGGAUCAAACUACAGUGGCUUUGGGGCAAACUUGAGGCAUGUAUCCAUGUUUUUAUUCGUAAGCAAUGGCUUCUUCCUCACUACUUUCUCAAGAAUCUCAUUUUUAGCCAGUACUUUUCUGGUAGUAGAGUUAUGAACACCGACUUUAAUAAAAGUGAGAGGGGCCUGCAGAUCCUUGGCUAUUGUUUUGGGAUUCUCUGCCACUUCCUGGUCAACCUUAUGCGGUGCUUUUGGAAUGGUUUUGGUUUCGUAAGUCAUUCUCAAGAAGAUUCUGGAUUGUCUUAAUCUUUUCCACAUUAAGACUGAAUUACUCGAGCUCCAGAAAUGGCUAUGUGAGCUUUUCCAGACUAAUACACAUCAGUGACGUAUUUACGCAUGACUUUAGACAUUUCGUUUGAAUGGGUGCAUUCUUAGGAUCUGGGUGGUGAGAAUUUCACUGUAAUGAGGGGAGCUCAUGUUUGUGAAAUUUUCCUAUGGCAAGGCCGGUCCAAAGCAGCUCUGUUUAAGGAGAUACCUCCAUAACUAGCCUUGCUGUUCCUUCAAAUGCUGGCUGGGGAAUUCUGGGAGAUAAAUUCUUAAACUUGCAAAGUUUGAAAAACACUGACAGAGCACAAAACAGCAUGCUUGACUCUGUUUAGAAAUGAAUGAAACAUGGAAAAGGAUUGGUGUUUAUUUGCUCAGUCUCCCUUGAUUUAUCAGUAGGAUCCACAUGAUGCAUUGAUCACGUUUGGUGACAAAGGGGCAAGAAGUCAAGAAAACUGAAGCUGGGAGGAGCAAAUGCUUUUUCGGGAACUGCAGCUCUUCUUGGUCACACCUUAAAUCAAAUGCAGCCAUGCAGGAUAUAAGCCCAUUUGUUCUUACCUUUCUUUCCGGACGAGGAGAUAAAAGCCUAAAAAGCAGAAGGUGAAAAAAAUAAAACUGAAUAAAAAGAACUUCUCAUUGUGUCCCAAGAAAAAUUAUUCUCACACAUCACCUGUCAGACAUGAACUAAGACGGGCAUUUUCACACGCGGUAUUCGGAGAUGCCUUGUGUACAGGACUUCCAGGCAGAGAGUGACUGGCCUGUACUCCUACAAAGGCACUGGGGUCUAU